rnacentral:tRNA from 1 species
UCCCGGUUAGCUCAGUUGGCAGGCACUCCAAUGGAACGGGAGAGGUUCCUGGUUCGAUGCCAGGACCGGGCG